GGUUGUGGCUCAGUGGUAGAGCACUUGCCUAGUAUGCGUGAGGCACUGGGUUCAAUCCCCAGCACCA
rnacentral:tRNA from 1 species